UAAUGAGACUGCCGGUGACAAACCGGAGGAAGGUGGGGAUGACGUCAAGUCCUCAUGGCCCUUAUAGGUGGGGCUACACACGUCAUACAAUGGAUGGUACAAAGGGUCGCCAACCCGCAGGGGGAGCCAAUCCCAUAAAGCCAUUCGUAGUCCGGAUCGCAGUCUGCAACUCGACUGCGUGAAGUCGGAAUCGCUAGUAAUCGUGGAUCAGAAUGUCACGGUGAAUACGUUCCCGGGUCUU
rnacentral:rRNA from 1 species